GGCGGUGCGACAAAGUAACCGCGCGGCGGCGAAAUCCAUACCUUUGCAGAAGGAGAGCUUAUUCCCGGCCAACAGGCCAAAACAAUCCGCCGAUGCGGCCAGCCGGACGCUGCUUGCAUGGCGGGGGUAUGUGCAGCGCCCCCGUUUACCCUCAAGGGGUACGAGGCAUCCGUAGGCGGCAUAGCCGCUGACGGCUGCCCUGUCAUGGCUGGUGCCGCCAAGCAGAUAGAACGCGCACCCGACAAAUCCUUCUGUACGGCGGAUGCCCCCAACGGGGCGGAAGG
rnacentral:sRNA from 12 species